UCACAAGAAAUCUGACAAGUGUCAGGUGUACAGAUCUUUUAGGAACCACGCGAGUUUCCUUCACUCCAAAGGCCAUAGGCUACGCGUCGUCCUUGUGAAAUCCCAUCCGUUCAUCAGUUUCGUCAACUCGUGUCACGAUAAGAGCCAAGCUGACAUUUGUGUUUAUCUAUUAAUCUCUAAUCACCCUAUGAACGGGUUGGAUGUCAUACAAACGUAAGGUGUGGCCCCCUCUUGGGUCUUGUAGUUGUAUCUGCUUCUUUUUUAGAUUAUCAUCGUUGACAUGACAUGAAGAAACUGAUGGAUGGAGUGGAUUUCACACUAAUAUCGAAGUGGGGCCCCACAGAACUUUGUGCUGCAGGAACUCUCUGCCACAGGUGCUGCGGGAAACUCGCAUCCUUUUGCAACACUCAGGAAAUUAGAUUAAAAAAAAGGUGGAAAACGUAAAUUUCAUCUCCUCUAACCCUUUUCUUCCUCAGAACUUUGGCGAGAAAAUCGCUUAGACUGGAACGGAUUCUACUCCGAUCCAAGUCUUUGAAUUUGGGUUUUUUUUUUUUUUUUUUUGGAUCAUUUCUAUUUCUAUUCGUUAAUCUCAUGUCUGGAAAGGAAAAAUCCAAAGAAGGUGGUGAAGAUGGAGUGCCCAUUGGAAGUGAGGAUGGGAAGAAGCAGAAAGGAUAUAAGAAGAAGAUUAAAAAGGCAGGUCUGCUGGUUCUGUUUCCUUUCAGGAAAUGCAAGAAGGUAUACAGAAGUAGAAGAUCACCAUCAUCUGCUGAUCCUGGUAAGGGUUGUUGUCUAUGUUUUAGGAAGCCCAUUCCAUCAGAUUCUCCAAUCGCAUCUCAGCCAACUGAUCCCAAUAGUCCUGAAUUUGGCUAUGAAUUCGUCAAAGUUUUCAUUGAGAAGAAUGAUUUUUAUUCCGGAGAAUGCAAUGUGCAUGUAUAGGUGUCUGAUUUUUGCCCCACGAUGGAACGCAAGCAUUGAAUUUUGGUUUGUUUUAUUUCUGAUGGUUGUGAGGAAUGUAGAUUCUUCAAGCUUUCUGAAUUGUUGGAUUUGAUGGCGUUGCUGAAUGGUAUUUGGCGAUCUUCGAAUUACAGAUUUAUGAAUCAGGAUAUUCUUUUGUAUUGAUAUUGAUUUUUAAGUUCUGCAAAAUGGGUAAUAUCAGUGAUGGAAAUUGGGUAUUGGGUGUUGUUCAGUAGAAAGAGUACCUGACAAUUUCAUGGGAAGGAAUUGAAUGUUUCAAAGUUGCCAGAUAUCAGAGUAAGAACAUAUGCUUGGAGUUUUUCUGUUAUCCUGCAAUAGCCAUGAGGAGUUGAGGUUUGAACAACUAUAGACUGUUCAAUUUGAUAAUUACAGAAUUCGGCGGUUUUCAAAUUCACAGAGCCAAUUGCUUUGUACUGGCUUUCUAGUUUGCAAAAGGGCCAGCAGGAGUUUUAUUUUAUUGUGGGACUCAUUAUCCAUGUGUGUAUUAUAUUGUUGGGCAUUUUCAUGGUUCGAUGACGGUGUUGUAAUGGCUCGAAAGAGGGCCUGAAGAUUGUCGACAUAUGGAUAUGAGAAAUGGCAGUGGAGGACAAAUUGUCAUCUUUUGAAUCUGUCUUGGACCAUAUUGAAGGGGAUCGAAAAGUUCUUAGUGGGACAAAAAGUCUCUGGGCUAAUGCCUGUAGAUUGAAGUUGGCUACCAAGAAGAGAAAGGUAAAGAUUGAUUCAUUCCAGCAUACAAAGAAAAUUCCAAGUCAUUUCCAGAAGAGAAGAAAAUGAGGAACAAUACUAUAGAAUUCAAAUAAAGAAGACAAUUAUUCACAAUCUGGAAUAGUCUAACUCUUCCAUUUCUUUGUGGACUUCCUGUGAUCCUUUCCUCGUUUAAUGGCCUGGAAGCAUCUAGGACUUGGUCAAUCUAGAAACUGUUUGUCAAUAAGAUGUUUUAGGUCUGGAAGCAUCUAGGAUCACAUGCUUCCAAAGCAGAAGCGGCACCUUGUUUUGGAGAUUCAUCCGACUAUAGCUUGCAGGACCAGAUAUUGGAUUUGAGAAAUGUCAGAGAAAAAAGAUUGAUAUGUUCAUAGGUGUUCAGUGAAGGUGCAUCUGAGAGCAAGAAAAAUGAUAAUGCAUCACAUGAUCAUUUGAUAUCUAGAACAAGCGACAAUGAAGUUCCCAGAAACAAUGUUCAUGAGGAUUGGUUCUCUAUCUUACAGAGCUAUUCUAUAUUGUAUGUUUUUACUUGUAACUUGCUUCAUCCAAGCGUUCAUAAUUAUGUUA